rnacentral:rRNA from 1 species
UGGAUGUUGGCUUAGAAGCAGCCAUCCUUGAAAGAGUGCGUAAUAGCUCACUGGUCAAGUGAUUGUGCGCCGAUAAUGUAGCGGGGCUUAAGCAUACCGCCGAAACUGAGGCAUUCAUAUGUUGCCGGCCGUGCCUUGAUGUGUGGUUAGGUGUAUGGAUGGGUAGGGGAGCGUCCUGCGUGGGGUGAAGCCUGGGUGUGAACUCUGGUGGACUGCGUGGGAGUGAGAAUGCGGAUGUAGGUUUAGAAGCAGCCAUCAAUUAAAGAAAGCGUAACAGCUCACUGGUCUAAACAAGGGUCUAUGCGCCGAAAAUGUAACGGGGUUAAAGCCAUGCACCGAAGCUGAGGAUGUGCAGCAAUGCACGUGGUAGCGGAGCGUUCCGUAAGCCUGUGAAGGGGUAUCCGUGAGGGGCCCUGGAGGUAUCGGAAGUGCGAAUGUUGACAUGAGUAACGAUAAAGAGGGUGAGAGACCCUCUCGCCGAAAGACCAAGGGUUCCUGCUUAAAGUUAAUCUGAGCAGGGUUAGCCGGCCCCUAAAACGAGGCGGAAACGCGUAGUCGAUGGGAACCACGUUAAUAUUCGUGGGCCUGGUGGUAGUGACGGAUUGCGUAACUUGUUCAGUCUUACUGGAUUGACUGGGCAGGGAAGCGGUUCCAGGAAAUAGCUCCACCGUUAUAGACCGUACCCGAAACCGACACAGGUGGUCAGGUAGAGUAUACCAAGGCGUUUGAGAGAACUAUGCUGAAGGAACUCGGCAAA